UUUAAAAGAAGUUUGAAAGAAAGCUGGAAAAAGAAUUUUUUAUGCCUUGAUCUGAAACAAGACGAAUUUCAUCUCUACGUCGCAAUUUUGCCAAAACGAGAUACAGAAGACGACUAUACUAUUUUUUUGAACUAUUGCUGAAAGCGAGAAAGUUUUUCACAGGUGUUCUUUGACGGCGGAGUAUAUAAAGGGCAUACCAUGUUGAUUUUCAUCAGACGGCAUUUGGCUUCAAUCAAUAAUAUAGAAGAAAAUAAUAAAAAUCUUUUCAACAUGAACAAGGUCAUCUUUAUUCUUGCUGUCUUCGUUGCCGUAUGCGUCCUAAUAGUUUCAUCGCAGCAUCAGUACACGGAAAGCUACCCCGUUAUUAAAUAUCGCCAAGCUAGAUUCAUUCGUGACGUUGAAUCUCAGAGCGCGCUACAGAGAAAUAGAUUUCCUGGAUGGCUUUAUGGUUAAUUUGUUUGCACGACCCUAGGUAGCAUUUGAUAUAAUUUUGAUGUCAUUUUCAUAUUCUUAUGCCAUUUCCACAUCCAUGUCAUGCUUUCGGCACAUAACUGACAUGAUUUUUUUAGACAUCUUAUACAUGAUACGUAUUUGACAUAUUUUUUAUAUUGCAUUAUGAGAUAUAACAUUUCUGAUAUCCUAAUGAUGUGAAGUUUUAUGUCAAUAAAUUGAUAACACACUC